rnacentral:rRNA from 1 species
GAGUACGUUCGCAAAGAAUGAAACUCAAAAGAAUUGACGGGGACCCGCACAACCGGUGGAGCAUGUGGUUUAAUUCGAAGCAACACGAAGAACCUUACCAAGUCUUGACAUCCCAAUGAAUGUCAGGUAAAGCAGGCAGACCUUCGGGACAUUGGAGACAGGUGGUGCAUGGUUGUCGUCAGCUCGUGUCGUGAGAUGUUGGGUUAAGUCCCGCAACGAGCGCAACCCUUAUCCUAAGUAGCCAGCAGGUAAAGCCGGGCACUCUUGGGAGACUGCCAGGGAUAACCUGGAGGAAGGUGGGGAUGACGUCAAAUCAUCAUGCCCCUUAUGAUCUGGGCUACACACGUGCUACAAUGGCGUAAACAAAGAGAGGCGAAAGGGCGACCUGGAGCGAACCCCAAAAAUAACGUCUCAGUUCGGAUUGUAGUCUGCAACUCGACUACAUGAAGCUGGAAUCGCUAGUAAUCGCGGAUCAGAAUGCCGCGGUGAAUACGUUCCCGGGUCUUGCACUCACCGCCCGUCA